CACGAUUUCUUCCUCACUUUCAAUUUCUUUCUUCUCUUUUCAAUCUCAUCUCACUUUCUUCCCUCCAUUCUUCAAACAGCCUCUGCGGUCACCACCAUCGUCAUCCCUCGUGCCCAGCUCAUGACCAGUCGUCGUCGAAUAUUCAAAGAGAAGAAACGGACACCUAAAAAAAGCUUAUAAACUCUCUAUUCUAUGCGAUGCUGAAGUUGCUUUGAUCAUCUUUUCCACUCGAGGCAAGCUCUACAAAUUCGGCAGUGCUGGUACUUCCAAAACAUUGGAGCGAUACCAACGUUGUUGCUUCUCUCCUCAACACAAUUUUGCUGAACGAGAAACCCAGAAUGAUUGAAGAUAUAUCAGGUUGAAAGCGAAGCGAUUGUGUAGAUAGCCAGACUAUUGUUGAAGGUUGAAGACUGAGAAGACGUUUAGAAUUUCUUGUUAAAGUCUUGUAUGAGGAUCUUGUUUCAUGUACUGUGUAGAAUGUAUAUAUAAAUAUAAUAUUAAGAUUCCAUUUUGUGUAUACAAAUGUAAAAGACAAAUAUUAUAGUUUUAAAAAUAAUUUAAUUUUAUUGA